rnacentral:rRNA from 1 species
UACGGGGGGGGCAGGCGUUGUUCGGAAUUACUGGGCGUAAAGGGCUUGUAGGUGGCCAACUAAGUCAGACGUGAAAUCCCUCGGCUUAACCGGGGAACUGCGUCUGAUACUGGAUGGCUUGAGUGUGGGAGAGGGAUGCGGAAUUCCAGGUGUAGCGGUGAAAUGCGUAGAUAUCUGGAGGAACACCGGUGGCGAAGGCGGCAUCCUGGACCAUUACUGACACUGAGAAGCGAAAGCCAGGGGAGCAAACGGG